UGGGGAAUAUUGCACAAUGGAGGGAACUCUGAUGCAGCGACGCCGCGUGAACGAAGAAGGCUUUCGAGUCGUAAAGUUCUUUUAUAUGGGAAGAUAAUGACGGUACCAUAAGAAAAAGCCCCGGCUAACUACGUGCCAGCAGCCGCGGUAAUACGUAGGGGGCUAGCGUUGUCCGGAAUCACUGGGCGUAAAGGGUUCGCAGGCGGAAAUGCAAGUCAGAUGUAAAAGGCAGUAGCUUAACUACUGUAAGCAUUUGAAACUGCAUAUCUUGAGAAGAGUAGGGGUAAGUGGAAUUUUUAGUGUAGCGGUGAAAUGCGUAGAUAUUAAAAAGAAUACCGGUGGCGAAGGCGACUUACUGGGCUCAUUCUGACGCUGAGGAACGAAAGCGUGGGUAGCAAACAGG
rnacentral:rRNA from 1 species